rnacentral:tRNA from 1 species
UCCCUGGUGGUCCAGUGGUUAAGACUCUGUGCUCCCAAUGCAGGAGGCCCGGGUUCAAUCCCUGGUCAGAGAA